rnacentral:rRNA from 1 species
GACGAACGCUGGCGGCGUGCCUAAUACAUGCAAGUCGAGCGAAGUUUUUCUGGUGCUUGCACUAGAAAAACUUAGCGGCGAACGGGUGAGUAACACGUAAAGAACCUGCCUCAUAGACUGGGACAACUAUUGGAAACGAUAGCUAAUACCGGAUAACAGCAUUAACUGCAUGGUUGAUGUUUAAAAGUUGGUUUUGCUAACACUAUGAGAUGGCUUUGCGGUGCAUUAGCUAGUUGGUGGGGUAAAGGCCUACCAAGGCGACGAUGCAUAGCCGACCUGAGAGGGUGAUCGGCCACACUGGGACUGAGACACGGCCCAGACUCCUACGGGAGGCAGCAGUAGGGAAUCUUCCGCAAUGGGCGAAAGCCUGACGGAGCAACGCCGCGUGAGUGAAGAAGGAUUUCGGUUCGUAAAGCUCUGUUGUUAGGGAAGAAUGAUUGUGUAGUAACUAUACACAGUAGAGACGGUACCUAACCAGAAAGCCACGCA